rnacentral:rRNA from 1 species
GACGAACGCUGGCGGCGUGCUUAACACAUGCAAGUCGAACGGAAAGGCCCUGCUUUUGUGGGGUGCUCGAGUGGCGAACGGGUGAGUAACACGUGAGUAACCUGCCCUUGACUUUGGGAUAACUUCAGGAAACUGGGGCUAAUAUCGGAUAGGAGAUCCUGCUGCAUGGUGGGGGUUGGAAAGUUUCGGCGGUUGUGGAUGGACUCGCGGCUUAUCAGCUUGCUGGUGGGGUAGGGGAUUACCAAGGAUUUGACGGGUAGCCGGCCUGGGAGGGUGACCGGCCACAUUGGGACUGAGAUACGGCCCAGACUCCUACGGGAGGCAGCAGUGGGGAAUAUUGCACAAUGGGCGGAAGCCUGAUGCAGCAACGCCGCGUGCGUGAUGACGGCCUUCGGGUUGUAAACCGCUUUCGCCUGUGACGAAGCGUGAGUGACGGUAAUGGGUAAAGAAGCACCGGCUAACUACGUG